GAGCAGCUAGGUAGUGUAGUAUGUAGAAGUCAGGCAGAAUUCAAAUCUAGCCUCAGAUUCUCACUAGCUAUGUGACCCUGUGUAAGUCAUCUAAUCCUGUUUGCCUCAGUUCAUUCAGGGUUGACAGAGCAGAGAGAUUUGAUUUGGUCAUCUCAGCUCUAGAGGGCAGAAUCAGAAGGAAAAAGCAGAAAUUUCAGAGAGAUCAAUUUUGGCUCAAUGUAAAGAAAAAAAUUUUAAAAGCAUUGUCUCCAAAAAUCGGUGCCUUCAGAAGAUGGGAGAUUAACCUCCAUUCUAGCCAUUAAGGGACAGCUCGGUGGUACAGUGGAGAGAGCACGGAGCUUCAAUUUAGGAAGAUUCCUCUUCCUGGGUUCAAAUCUGGCCUUAGAUACUUAGUAGCUGUGUGCCUCUGGGUAAGUCACUUCUGCUUGUCUCAGUUUCCUCAUCUGUAAAAUGAAUGACUGAAGAAGCAUCAAACCGUUCCAAUAUCUAUGCCAAGAAAGCCCCUAGAAGAGUUGGACAUGGCUGAAAAAUUAUUGAACUGAUAGGUUUUCAAGUAAGGAUUGGAUACCAACUUAUUGGGGAUGUUAUAGACGGGAUUCUUCUUCAAGUAUUAGACCAUACUAGAGUGGAUCCUGUGAUUGUCUGUCAAUUGCGCCAGCAUCAAUGCCUUGUGAGCCCUUACAUGCUGGUUAAUGAUCCCCUGUCAGGGAGGUUGCAGAGACAACUCUUCAGAGGACAAGGGAAAUGAUCUCCAAAGACCUUUGGACUCUGAGACACUGUGACUCUGUGAUCCAGAAAGGAAGCAAUACACACUCUAGGGAUUUUAAAGAUAUACUACAAGAAGACCACUGGAUCCUUCAUUUCAGAGCUGGAAGAAACCUCAGAGGCCAUCUAGUCCAAACCCCUGUCUUUAUAGGGCACCCCUAAACCCUCACCACCUGAAUACUGCCAGUUAACCACGCAUACUUAUCAAACAUUUAUUAUAUACAAGGCAUUAAAGUCAGGUAAGUAUAAAACCAAAACCAGUUACCCAUGAUGAAUCCGAAAUUUAUAUAGUAGCCACAUAGUAAAUGUUAAAGAACAUGAAUCAAUCAGUUACCAAACAUUGGACUGUUAAGUGGCACAGUAGAAAGUGCACUGGGCUUGAUUGAGUUAGGAAGACCUGAGUUCAAACUUGCCUAAGAUAUUAACUAAGCAAACUGUUUGACAUCUAUCAGACUCAGUUUCCUCAUCUGUAAAUUUGAAGGGGCUAGAUAUUAAGGUCUCUUCUGACUCUAAAUCCAUAAUCCAGUGAUUUAUUAAGUGCUUAAUUUAGAUAUAGUUAGGUAGCUCAGUGAACAGAGAGUCAGGUCUAGAGAUAGGAGGUUCUGGGUUCAAAUUUGACCUCUGAUGCCUCCUAGACAUAUGACCCUGGGCAAGUCACUUAAUCCCAACUGCAUAGCCCUUUUCUCUCUUCUUUCUUAGAACAGAUCCUUAUCAAUUUUCAGACAGAAGGAAGGAUUUUAAAAAGUGACAGGCACUGGAAAACACAAAGACAAAAAUUAAUACUAAAUGUCUAGAAGUUUUCAUGUACAGUCAAUGCAGUACAUGUCAAUAGUGUCAACAGUGUAGCAUGGCAGCCAAAACUACUAACUCAACUUAACAGAAGAAAUAGUUGUUUGUUUUUGUUUUGUUUGUUCAUCCUUCAUUUUUGAAGAGGAUCAAUGACAAUACAGGGAAAUAUCCUGACAAGGGAGGCAAAGUGGCACAAAGUCAUCAGCCUCAUUCCCUCUUCCAAAGUCAUCAAAGUCCAGUGGCAAGACAAAAGUCAGGAUGACUAGUAAUGGCCCAAGAUGCAAAGAAAGAGUAUUCAGUAAAAAGAAGGAGACACGACUGUUAUUCACCACUCUGGUCAGUCCACAUCUGACACAUUGGGUUCAAGUCCAAG
ensembl:lncRNA